GGAGGACAAGCCAGACAAGCCUGAAGAUGGGAAGAACUGAAGUCAAUGAACUUCUAUUUUCUCAACUUGCAGGCGCAUGAAGAAGUGAAGAAGAUUGCCUGCAUUAGCUGCUUUUACACUCGGGCUAUAUGAAUUUACUUAAUCCUCUUGUAACUGCGUUGAUGAUAACUCAAAUGCCGAGAGAACUUGUAUUAUGUCUGCUCUCACGAACGCUCCUCCAUGUUUGUCUCAAGGGAUUACCUGUUGCAAAUUCAUUUGUACACUUUGUCUGUUGAAUGUAACUUAACACAUUGACAGCGCGGAGCUAGCACCUAGCAUCGGUGAAGUAGGGCAUUGUUGUAUCUGCCCCAAUGGUCCCGGUUAGUAGCGUGGGACAUGCUAGCUUAGAGCAUCUACAACCCAGUGUCUUGUAUGUCCGUGUCCAA
rnacentral:lncRNA from 1 species